CACGUAGUUAGCCGUGGCUUUCUGAUUAGGUACCGUCAAGAUGUGCACAGUUACUUACACAUUUGUUCUUCCCUAAUAACAGAGUUUUACGAGCCGAAACCCUUCAUCACUCACGCGGCGUUGCUCCGUCAGGCUUUCGCCCAUUGCGGAAGAUUCCCUACUGCUGCCCUCCCGUAGGAGUCUGGACCGUGUCUCAGUUCCAGUGUGGCCGAUCACCCUCUCAGGUCGGCUACGUAUCGUCGCCUUGGUAAGCCGUUACCUUACCAACUAGCUAAUACGGCGCGGGUCCAUCUAUAAGUGAUAGCAAAACCAUCUUUCACUUUAGAACCAUGCGGUUCUAAAUGUUAUCCGGUAUUAGCUCCGGUUUCCCGAAGUUAUCCCAGUCUUAUAGGUAGGUUACCCACGUGUUACUCACCCGUCCGCCGCUAACUUCAAAGGAGCAAGCUCCUUAUCUGUUCGCUCGACUUGCAUGUAUUAGGCACGCCGCCAGCGUUCAUCCUGAGCCAGGAUCAAACUCU
rnacentral:rRNA from 1 species